UUACUCACUUUGGCAGCAAAUAAACUAACACUGGAAAUAUUUAGAGAUUAACAUAGACCCUUUGCAAGGAUGACACUCAAGUUCAUGAAAUGUUCCAUAUGUUU